GACGAACGCUGGCGGCGUGCUUAACACAUGCAAGUCGAACGGAAAGACCCUGCUUUUGUUGGGUGCUCGAGUGGCGAACGGGUGAGUAACACGUGAGUAACCUGCCCUUGACUUUGGGAUAACUUCAGGAAACUGGGGCUCAUACCGGAUAGGAGCUCCUGCUGCAUGGUGGGGGUUGGUAAGUUUCGGCGGUUGGGGAUGGACUCGCGGCUUAUCAGCUUGUUGGUGGGGUAGUGGCUUACCAAGGCUUUGACGGGUAGCCGGCCUGAGGGGGUGACCGGCCACAUUGGGACUGAGAUACGGCCCAGACUCCUACGGGAGGCAGCAGUGGGGAAUAUUGCACAAUGGGCGGAAGCCUGAUGCAGCAACGCCGCGUGCGGGAUGACGGCCUUCGGGUUGUAAACCGCUUUCGCCUGUGACGAAGCGUGAGUGACGGUAAUGGGUAAAGAAGCACCGGCUAACUACGUG
rnacentral:rRNA from 1 species